rnacentral:rRNA from 1 species
UGGGGAAUUUUGGACAAUGGGCGAAAGCCUGAUCCAGCAAUGCCGCGUGUGUGAAGAAGGCCUUCGGGUUGUAAAGCACUUUUGUCCGGAAAGAAAUCCUUGGCUCUAAUACAGUCGGGGGAUGACGGUACCGGAAGAAUAAGCACCGGCUAACUACGUGCCAGCAGCCGCGGUAAUACGUAGGGUGCAAGCGUUAAUCGGAAUUACUGGGCGUAAAGCGUGCGCAGGCGGUUUGCUAAGACCGAUGUGAAAUCCCCGGGCUCAACCUGGGAACUGCAUUGGUGACUGGCAGGCUAGAGUAUGGCAGAGGGGGGUAGAAUUCCACGUGUAGCAGUGAAAUGCGUAGAGAUGUGGAGGAAUACCGAUGGCGAAGGCAGCCCCCUGGGCCAAUACUGACGCUCAUGCACGAAAGCGUGGGGAGCAAACAGGAUUAGAUACCCUGGUAGUCCACGCCCUAAACGAUGUCAACUAGUUGUUGGGGAUUCAUUCCUUAGUAACGUAGCUAACGCGUGAAGUUGACCGCCUGGGGAGUACGGUCGCAAGAUUAAAACUCAAAUGAAUUGACGGGGUCAUAG